CCUACGGGAGGCAGCAGUGAGGAAUAUUGGUCAAUGGACGAGAGUCUGAACCAGCCAAGUAGCGUGAAGGAUGACUGCCCUAUGGGUUGUAAACUUCUUUUAUAUGGGAAUAAAAUGUUCCCCGUGUGGGAUUUUGUAUGUACCAUAUGAAUAAGGAUCGGCUCACUCCGUGCCAGCAGCCGCGGUAAUACGGAGGAUCCGAGCGUUAUCCGGAUUUAUUGGGUUUAAAGGGAGCGUAGGUGGAUUGUUAAGUCAGUUGUGAAAGUUUGCGGCUCAACCGUAAAAUUGCAGUUGAAACUGGCAGUCUUGAGUACAGUAGAGGUGGGCGGAAUUCGUGGUGUAGCGGUGAAAUGCUUAGAUAUCACGAAGAACUCCGAUGGCGAAGGCAGUUCACUGGACUGCAACUGACACUGAGGCUCGAAAGUGUGGGUAUCAAACAGGAUUAGAUACCCCUGUAGUC
rnacentral:rRNA from 1 species